rnacentral:rRNA from 1 species
CCUACGGGUGGCAGCAGUGGGGAAUAUUGCACAAUGGGCGCAAGCCUGAUGCAGCCAUGCCGCGUGUGUGAAGAAGGCCUUCGGGUUGUAAAGCACUUUCAGCGGGGAGGAAGGCGUUAAGGUUAAUAACCUUGGCGAUUGACGUUACCCGCAGAAGAAGCACCGGCUAACUCCGUGCCAGCAGCCGCGGUAAUACGGAGGGUGCAAGCGUUAAUCGGAAUUACUGGGCGUAAAGCGCACGCAGGCGGUCUGUCAAGUCGGAUGUGAAAUCCCCGGGCUCAACCUGGGAACUGCAUUCGAAACUGGCAGGCUAGAGUCUUGUAGAGGGGGGUAGAAUUCCAGGUGUAGCGGUGAAAUGCGUAGAGAUCUGGAGGAAUACCGGUGGCGAAGGCGGCCCCCUGGACAAAGACUGACGCUCAGGUGCGAAAGCGUGGGGAGCAAACAGGAUUAGAUACCCGAGUUGUC